rnacentral:tRNA from 1 species
AGCUCUGUAGUGAUUAACACAUUAAAUUGCAAAUUUAAAAAAGUUCCUUUAUUGGUACCGGGGCUU